UGUUAGCCAGGAUGGUCUCGAUCUCCUGACCUUGUGAUCCACCCGCCUCGGCCUCCCAAAGUGCUGGGAUUACAAGCGUGAGCCACUGUGCCUGGCCCCAAAUUUCUCUUAUAUGGGAGCUUGCCUGUGUAAUUACCUGGCCCAUCAUCUGACAGCACAUAGAGUAGCACCUUCCGCAAAUUUCUACUUCAAAGAUGUUGGACUGAGUAUGACAUUAAAGAUCAAGCUGCAAAAAGGGAUGAAGUUACUCCAAAACAAUUUCGUGCAUUGGUACCCUUUCUGGGAGAGCUUUAUCGUAACCUGGAGAUCAGAGGAACAAAUGGACAGGUUACAAGGGCAGAUAUUCUUCAGGUUGGUCUUUGGGAGUUGCCGAAUGCCUGAAUGCCCUCUUUUCUAAUCCCAUGGAUGACAGCUUAAUUUGUGCAAUAAAAUUGCUGAAGUUGACAGGGUCAGUUUUGGAAGAUGCUUGGAAGGAAAAAGGAGGGACUGAUAUGGAAGAAAUUAUUCAGGAAAUUGAAAAUGUUGUUAUAGAUGCAAACUGUGGCAGAGACAUGAAGCAGAUGCUCUUGAAGCUUGUAGAGCUCCAGUGCAGUAACUGGGGUAGAGUCCAUGCAACUUCAUCAUGCAGAAAUGCAACACCCGAAAAAGAUCCCAACUGCUAUGUGAAUGAACUAGCAUUUUAUACAUCUCAUAGUUUUCGUUUCACUGCAGCCAAUCCAGAUUCCCAAGAGGCAUAUCAGGAGUUACUUGAAAAAGAGGACUUUUUUUCUAGAUUAUGAAGAAAGUGAAACAGAUUUAUCAGGGGCUGGUGAUCCACACUUGGAUGAUAUUGAUGAUGAGUUGGACCCAGAGAUCCAGAGAUAGAGGAAGCUUAUGAAGUUUUGUUUGGAAUCAGAGCGUAAGCGAAAACAGUAAAGUUAAAUUUCAGUAUAUCAUGUUUAUAAAGCAGUUUAGUUAUGGUGAUUUAGCAGAAUACAAAGCCAGAAAAUGUGUCACACUUAUACCAAAUUAAGGAUGUUACGUUACUAAUAUAUGCAACUUUAAUUUUGUUUAACACUGUCUGCCAAAAUAAAUUGUAUUCCCUCUAACUUAAAAAAACAAAAUAGUGAUGUUGUUUGUUUUUUUUUCCCCUUGUCC